GGUCCUGUAGCUCAGUUGGUUAGAAGUUGGUCUAAUGAGCCGAAGGUCGCGAGUUCGAGCCUCGCCAGGACCA